rnacentral:rRNA from 1 species
AUUGAACGCUGGCGGCAGGCCUAACACAUGCAAGUCGAACGAGUGGCGGACGGGUGAGUAAUGUAUGGGAAACUGCCUGAUGGAGGGGGAUAAAUAAUGGAAACGGUAGCUAAUACCGCAUACCAUCGGAUGUGCCCAUAGUGGAGUAGGGAGGCGGUGGGGUAAAGGCUCACCUAGGCGACGAUCCCUAGCUGAUCUGAGAGGAUGACCGGCCACACUGGGACUUAGACACGGCCCAGACUCGUACGGGAGGCAGCAGUGGGGAAUAUUCCACAAUGGGCUCAAGCCUGAGGCAGCAAUGCCGCGUGUAUGAAGAAGGCCUUCGGGUUGUAAAGUACUUUCAGCGGGGAGGCGUUACCCACAGAGGAAGCACCGGCUAACUCCGUGCCAGCAGCCGCGGUAAUAC